rnacentral:tmRNA from 1 species
GGGGGCGUUUUGGAUUCGACGGGGGUUUGAUGGGUGAGAGUAGCGAGUCCGGGCCCAUGACCCGGUCAACAACGUGGAAAAGGCUUAAACGCCAACGAUAAUUACGCUCUCGCUGCUUAAAUAGCAGCGUGUCCGCUAGUUCCGAGCCUGUAGGCACUAGGCCGGGCAUCGACUAAUCAGGCUACCGGUUUUACGGUUGGCAGAGCCAAAAAAACUGGGAAUCACAACUGUGCUAGUGUAGUGGGAUCCGGCCUCAAGGAGCCCGUUACGCAAAUCCAAACUUGAGGAUACACUCGUAGAAGCUCUUGCUGGUUGGCCUUCGGACAGGGGUUCGACUCCCCUCGCCUCCACCA